AGCAGGUGUGUGGCUUUCUGUUUGAGGCCCUGGCCUGCAGCAGAUCCAGCUUGCUUCCCAAUUCCCAUCACCUUUGUGGUAGUCCUGGAACACCAAACCCUCCGUGGCCCACGGUCUCCUUAGCCCAGUCUGCAGGGUCUCAUGUAGCCCAGUCUGUCCUUGAACUCACCGUGUAGCCAAGGAUGACCUUGCGCGUCUGGUCCCCCUGCCUCCAGCCCUCAGGUGCUGGGAUUACACAGAUGUGCCGUCACCCUGAUUCAGACAGUGCUGGGGAUUGAACCCAGAGCUUCAUGCAUGCUAGGGUGAAUCCUACAAGUGAGACUGCCGAGCUGAAGCUUAGCCGCACGCCAGAAGCGUUUGAUCAGCGCCCCACCCUGACCUCCAGAAAGAUGAAGCACUGACUGAGAGUGACUCGGUGAGGAAGGCUUCUUCACAUGGCUUCCAGGGUCUGGACACAGCCUUCACACUUUGCUGGUUAGGCAAGGGAUGCUGGGCCAGAAACCACUACCCACCGUACCCGAAGGCAUAGCUCCAGCAUCGAAUAUCUGUUCGCUUGCCCUGGUGAGACUCCUGGAACCAUGCCAUUCUUGCUGUUUUUCAUGGAACCUGAAACUUGAGAUUUAUUUCUCUUUUCAUCUUCAGUGUUUUGCAUCCGUGAGAACGUACUUUGACGGGGGUCAAUUCCCAUCCAUUGUGUGGAAAUUUCUUGAAUUAAAUAAUUUGUGACGCUC